rfam:Coccidioides posadasii str. Silveira unplaced genomic scaffold supercont2.16, whole genome shotgun sequence.
UCGAAUGAUGAAUACCCUGAUAGGGACAUCAGAUGCUAUGCACAUGAUGUGAACUUAGGAAAGAGUAUUUUAGUAGAUGCCUCUGUAUCUGAAA